rnacentral:rRNA from 1 species
GCCGGCAGCUAGCUCUCUGCAACUCUCACAUGGUGGCCCACUGAAGCUAAGCAGGGCUGCGCCCGGUCAGUACCUGGAUGGGAGACCACAUGGGAAAGCUAGGUUGCUGCCGGAA